rnacentral:rRNA from 1 species
GUUUGAUCAUGGCUCGGACUGAACGCUGGCGGGAUGCUUUACACAUGCAAGUCGAACAGCGGCCUGGACUUCGGUCUGGCGGCGAGUGGCGAACGGGUGAGUAAUGUAUCGGAACGUGCCUAGUAGCGGGGGAUAACUACAUGGCCUUCAAUACCGCAUACGCUUGUCAGGGGAAAAGCGGGGACCUUCGGGCCUCGCACUAUUAGAGCGGCCGAUAUCGGAUUAGCUAGUUGGUAGGGUAACGGCUCACCAGGCGACGAUCCGUAGCUGGUUUUGAGAGGACGACCAGCCACACUGGGACAGGACACGGCCCAGACUCCUGCGGGAGGCAGCAGUGGGAAUUUUGGACAAUAGAAACCUGAUCAAUACAUCCCGCGUGUGCGAUGAAGGCCUUCGGGUUGUAAAGCGCACUUUUUGGCAGGAAAACGGCACGGGAUAAUACGAUGCAACUGACGGUACCUGCAGAAUAAGCACCGGCUAACUACGUGCCAGCAGCCGCGGUAAUACGUAGGGUGCAAGCGUUAAUCAGAAUUACUGGGCGUAAAGCGUGCGCAGGCGGUUCCGGAAGAAAGAUGUGAAAUCCCAGAGCUUAACUUUGGAACUGCAUUUUUAACUACCGAGCUGAGUGUGUCAGAGGGAGGUGGAAUUCCGCAUUAAGCAGUGAAAUGCGUAGAUAUGCGGAGGAACACCGAUGGCGAAGGCAGCCUCCUGGGAUGUGCUGACGCUCAUGCACAAAAGCGUGGGGAGCAAACAGGAUUAGAUGCCUGAGCAGUCACGCCCUAAACGAUGUCAACUGGCUGUUUUGGGGCCUCCGGGCCUUGGUAGCGCAGCUAACGCGUAAGUUGACCGCCUGGGAGAAUUACGGUCGCAAGAUUAAAACUCAAAGGAAUUGACGGGGACCCGCACAAGCGGUGGAUGAUGUGGAUUAAUUCGAUGCAACGCGAAAACCUUACCUACCCUUGACAUGUCUGGAAUCCCGAAGAGAUUUGGGAGUGCUCGCAAGAGAACCGGAACACAGGUGCUGCAUGGCUGUCGUCAGCUCGUGUCGUGAGAUGUUGGGUUAGAGUCCCACAACGAGCGCAGCCUGUCAUUAGUUGCUACGAAAAGGGCACUCUAAUGAGACUGCCGGUGACAAACCGGAGAAGGUGGGGAUGACGUCAAGUCCUCGCAUGGCCCAUAUGGGUAGGGCCCUACACGUCAUACAAUGGUCGGGACAGAGGGUCGCCAACCCCGCGAGGGGGAGCCAAUCCCAGAAACCCGAUCGUAGUCCGGAUCUUACAUGAUCUGCAACUCGACUGCGUGAAGUCCGAAUCGCUAGUAAUCGCGGAUCAGCAUGUCGCGGUGAAUACGUUCCCGGGUCUUGUACACACCGCCCGUCACACCAUGGGAGUGGGUUUUACCAGAAGUAGUUAGCCUAACCGUAAAGGAGGGCGAUUACCACGGUAGGAUUCAUGACUGGGGUGAAGUCGUAACAGGUAACC